GACGAACCGUGCGAACGUUAUUCGGAAUCACUGGGCUUAAAGCGCGUGUAGGCGGAUGGGAACGUCGGCGACUGAAAGCCCCCGGCUCAACCGGGGAAGUGGUGCCGAAACGACCUGUCUGGAGGGACGUAGAGGGAUCUGGAACUUCCGGUGGAGCGGUGAAAUGCGUUGAGAUCGGAAGGAACGCCCGUGGCGCAAGCGAGGUCCUGGACGUCUGCUGACGCUGAGACGCGAAAGCUAGGGGAGCAAACGG
rnacentral:rRNA from 1 species